UACGUAGGGGGCUAGCGUUGUCCGGAAUCAUUGGGCGUAAAGAGCGUGUAGGCGGUCCGGUAAGUCCGCUGUGAAAGUCGGGGGCUCAACCCUCGAAUGCCGGUGGAUACUGUCGGGCUAGAGUGCGGAAGAGGCGAGUGGAAUUCCUGGUGUAGCGGUGAAAUGCGCAGAUAUCAGGAGGAAGAGCUAUGGCGAAGGCAGCUCGCUGGGACGUAACUGACGCUGAGACGCGAAAGCGUGGGGAGCAAACAGG
rnacentral:rRNA from 1 species